CCUACGGGUGGCAGCAGUGAGGAAUAUUGGUCAAUGGGCGGAAGCCUGAACCAGCCAAGUAGCGUGCAGGAUGACGGCCCUACGGGUUGUAAACUGCUUUUAUACGGGAAUAACGCGCCUUAAGUGUAGGGCUUUGCAUGUACCGUAUGAAUAAGGACCGGCGAAUUCCGUGCCAGCAGCCGCGGUAAUACGGCAGGUCCGAGCGUUAUCCGGAUUUUUUGGGUUUAAAGGGGGCGUAGGCCGCAUGUCAAGCGUGCUGUGAAAGGGCCGGGCUCAACCCGGGCCUUGCAGCGCGAACGGGCGUGCUUGAGUCCGCGGAAAGCAGGCGGAAUUCGUCGUGUAGCGGUGAAAUGCUUAGAUAUGACGAAGAACCCCGAUUGCGAAGGCAGCUUGCUGCAGCGGAACUGACGCUGAUGCUCGAAAGCGCGGGUAUCGAACAGGAUUAGAUACCCCAGUAGUC
rnacentral:rRNA from 1 species